UCACGGCCUCACGGGCUCCACUCCGUCAGUGUCUCGAACAUUCCCUUCGUCCAAGUUACCCAAACACUCUCGGUUCUCGCACGCCGCCAUGGAGCCCUCGCCGGAGCAUUCGCCGCCGACCACCGCCACCGCCGCCGACUCCGCUGGAGGAGGAUACCAGGCGUUCCCUUCCACCAACUCAUCCUCACUCUUCCCUCUCUUCCCGCUCUCCGCCCCCGCCCCCGCCGCGGAGUCCCAGAUGCUCUCGAACCCUAGCUUCUCCUUCGACGCUUCCUCCCUCAACAUCCCAUCCACUGCCCCCUCGUCCCUCCCGCCGCCGCUGAGCCCUUCGUCGGACGAGGAGGCGGCGUCUAAGCGCGCGCCCGCGAAGUACGACCUGCUGCCCUCCUCGCCGUCGGCUUCGUCGUCCGACGAGGAGAGGGGGUCGAGGCGGAAGGACAGGAAGAGGAGGAAACGGAGGAGGGAGAACGAGCGGUAUGAUGGGGCGGCCGCUUCGAGGAAGCCCGGGGUUCGCGCCUGGGCUGGGUCGGAGAUGAAGCUGGCCAAGGAUUACUACUUAGAUGGGAAGGGCGACCAGGAUAACCUGGCGUUUGGAUCCAUUUACAGAAUGGAUAUUGCACGCUACAAGACUCAACGUACGCUAGAGGAACAUGGUCGUAAUCGGCUCGCGUUUUAUUAUUCUGGAAUCUCUUCAUCACAUAUGGAUGUAGAUUCAGAUUUAGAUGGUUUGGAUAGCAAAGUAAGAGCUGGAGGUCGCUACUACUCAGCAAAACAUGCAGUCUUAGAAAGGAAUAAGGGUUUCAAACACCUGAAAGUGUUGAAAAGAGAUAGGAUCGCAGUUCAACCUGAAGAUUUUAUUCCCGUAGACACAUCAUCCCUUCCUGCGAAAAGCACAAUUGUGCAACAGGAGCUUGAGGAAUCUUGGGAAGAUGAAAUACUCCGAAGGACAAAAGAAUUCAAUAAGAUGACACGAGAAUGUCCUCAUGAUGAAAAAAUUUGGCUGGCCUUCGCACAAUUCCAGGACAAAGUAGCCAGUACUCAGCCACAAAAAGCAGCUCGUUUGCAAACAACUGAAAGAAAGAUUAGUAUAUUGGAGAAAGCCGUGGAGCUCAAUCCGGAUAAUGAGGAAUUGUUGCUUUGCCUUCUGAAGUCAUACGGAGAGAGGGAUAGUACUGAGAGUCUCUUUGUUAAAUGGGAGAAAACACUUAUGGAACACCCGGACAGUUGUAAGUUGUGGAAACAGUAUCUACUUCUGUGCCAAGGGGAAUUCUCCAGAUUCAAAGUAUCUGAUAUACGAAAGUCUUACACAUAUGCAGUGCAGGCUAUAUCUGCAGCUUGCGCCAAGCUAUGUACGCAGGAUAGUCAAAAUACUGAUCUCAAGGCAUCUCGUCCUUCCUUAGUUCAUCUUGAACUUGGUUUAGUGGAUAUAUUUGUGAAUUUGUGCCGGUUUGAAUGGCAUACAGGACAUCGAGAAUUAGCAACCGGGUUAUUUCAAGCUCAAAUUGAGUUUAGCUUAUUCCCGCCUCCCCUUUCUCUGUCCACAAGCAGUAAGCAAAGGCUCUUUGAGCAUUUCUGGAACAGUGGUGGUGCCAGAAUAGGAGAGGAUGGGGCUCUUGGAUGGUCUACAUGGUUAGCCAAAGACGAGGAGAGUAGACAGAACAUGGUUAUGCAAGAUAAUUUCCAAGAGCCUGAAGGGGGAGGCUGGAGUGGUUGGUUUGACCCUUCAAAAAGUCAUGAUGAAACAAACGUGUCUGACAAAUCAAUAGAACCAUCAGAAGCUGAUGGAAAUGAUGCAGAAGACCAUGAUGCUGAGGACACACCUGCACAAGAUGACGUUCAAUCUUUGCUAAAAAAGCUUGGCAUUGAUGUGGAUGCUGAAUACAGUAGUGAAGUUAAAGAUGCAAAAACUUGGAAUAGAUGGUCCUCGAUGGAGUUGUCCAGGGACAAUGAACAAUGGAUGCCUAUUCAUGAAAAGUCUGGACCUCACCUUUCCGAUGACGCUGGAGAAGUCAACGAUCAGCUUUCUAGAAUAAUCUUGUUUGAGGAUGUUACUGAGUUCAUGUUCUCUUUAUCUUCAGAAGUGGCACGAUUUUCUCUGAUAUGCCAAUUCAUUGAUUUCUAUGGUGGCAAAAUUCCUAGAUGGACAUCCACCAACAGUUCAAGUUGGCUUGAUAGAAUUUUGAGCCUAGAGAUGAUACCGAGUGAUAUUUCGGAAGAUAUUAGCACCAUAUCUGACCUUGUGAACAAGACUCAAAGUUCAAGCCAUUGUAGAUUGGAGUCAUUAUUAGGAAGCAUGCAUGAUCUUUCUCAAAGACCUGGCUUGGUGAAAUUUCUGAGAAAUGCGAUGCUGCUUUCCCUUGAUGUAUUCCCUCGUAAUCAUAUAUUGGCAGAAGCUGUUCUUGUUACCACCCAAAUGUAUACCACCCAAGAGAACACUUCGUCUGCUCCAGCUAAUGCAUCUCGGGCUUUGGCCAAAAAUCUACUGAAGAAAGACAGACAGGAUCUUUUGCUUUGUGGAAUAUAUGGUCGAAUUGAGGCUAUGCAUGGGAACACUGUCCAAGCAAGGAAGGUGUUUGACAUGGCACUGUUAUCUACUGAAGGAGCUACAGAGGACCUCAUCAGGAAGGUUCCUAUUCUUUAUUUGUGGUAUGCUGAGAUGGAGGUAGCAGUAUCUACUUCAAGAAGCAAUUCUGACUCGGUGCAUCGUGCACUCUACAUUCUGUCCUGCUUGGGGGGCAAUGUCAAGUAUACUCCUUUUGUUGGUCCUAUAUCACGGCCAAUGGUAUUAAGGGCUCGUCAAGGAUUUAAAGAGCAGAUUAGAAGCUUGCAAUCUGCAUCUGCAUGUGGUGGUUUGAAAGAAGAAUCAGUUGCUCUAAUUUGCUCCGCAUCCUUGUUUGAGAGUAUGACUUCUGGUUGUUCUUCUGGUCUUGAAGUGAUAGAGGAGGCCUAUCCAUUUUCAGGGAGCAGCCAUAGCUUGGAAUUCGAGGAACUGUGGAUGUAUUACACCAGACUGAUCCAAAAAAAUCUUAAUCAGUUGAGUCUCUCAAGGGUUUGGCCAAGCAUAUUGCAAGGAGUACAAACAUAUCCUUACAAUCCAAAAUCAUAUGCAGCCAUGUUAAGUGUGAGCUGUCUUUACAGUGUUCCCAACAAUCUGCGUCUCACACUGGACAUAUGUUGUCAAAGGGACCCUUCCAUAAUUGCCUUGCUGUUCGCUUUGUCCUUUGAAUGGAGUAAAGCAGGAUCUAGCAAUAGAAUACACGGUCUGUUUGAGAGAGCUCUAGCUGAUGAUAAGUUAAAGAAGUCUGUUCUGUUGUGGCGAUGUUAUCUAGCUUACGAGGCGGAGAUAGCAUCUAAUGCUUCUGCGGCACGGCGUGUGUUCUUCAGAGCUAUACAUGCUUGCCCAUGGUCUAAAAGAUUAUGGCUUGAUGGUUUCGAAAAAUUGAGCUCAGUUCUGACUAUGAAAGAGUUAUCAGAUCUCCAGGAAGUAAUGCAGGACAAGGAAUUGCACAUUCGCACUGACAUCUAUGAGAUACUGUUACAAGAUGAAACUGAUAUCUGAUUAGACAUAUCCUUGGAUCGUAUUCAGAAUUCCAGAUCUGUUCCGCAUGGCAAUUGUUGCAGCUGUUAGUUUCCACGAUUACAACCAAAUGCAGUUCUACCUUGCAGUCAAUACUGAGAUCCUUAGGCUUGUUGCUCAGGAACAUGUUAUCUUACAUCAGAUGGGAUCUGGAAGCAAUUUUAAAAUGACCCCUUUGGAUGCCAAUUUCGCCAAUUAUAAUUGUGUUUUACAUUCCGUUCCGCCAAUCUGUUGGCAGGACAAAAUCAACUUAUAAAGGUCUUGUUGAAACUGCUGUGAAGGAAACUAUAAGAUAGUGGGGAUACAUAAAUGCAAAUCUACUGCAACCUCAGCUUAGCGGUCUUCUGUGCAAUUUCCUCAGGAACUCGGCUGUUAAAAGAAAAGCUUGGUUUAUUGGGGGCUUUGUGAAGGUUCCUCGCAAAUUAGUAGAAUCACUAGUUUUCUACAUCUGCCCUUGGAAUGAAUGAAGGGAAGGCAUUGAGUUCAAACAUACAAUAGUAUAAAUAUAGUAAAAUGCUACCCCAUACUGCAAUGUUUAAAGUGACACAGCAAAUUUGAGCUUUUAGAGACCACUGUCAAAGGUAGGCUUGGAGAAAUGGGCUGGAGGAUGAGUAGCAGGAAGGAUUUAUGUUAACCAGAUCUGCUUCAGUAAUUGAUGUUAGUUCUGUGCUGUGAUACCAUAGGCUUUACUACAUUUCAACAUCGUAGGAUUUGGUUGCUUGAGAUGUGUUAUAUGUACAGUGUGGACAUGUGGUAACACCGCUGCUGGAGGCCAGUCGCUGACUCGCCUGUUCUCAUAUGGUAGCCAGAUUUUUUGAUGGUCCA